GUGCCAGCAGCCGCGGUAAUACGUAGGGAGCGAGCGUUGUCCGGAUUCAUUGGGCGUAAAGAGCUCGUAGGCGGCUUGAUAAGUCGGAUGUGAAACCUCCAGGCUCAACCUGGAGUCGCCAUCCGAUACUGUCAUGGCUAGAGUCCGGUAGGGGCCCACGGAACUCCUGGUGUAGCGGUGAAAUGCGCAGAUAUCAGGAAGAACACCGAUGGCGAAGGCAGUGGGCUGGGCCGGUACUGACGCUGAGGAGCGAAAGCGUGGGGAGCGAACAGGAUUAGAUACCCUGGUAGUCC
rnacentral:rRNA from 1 species